AGCAUGCUUGUCUGCACACUUCAUCCAAAGGAAAAGUAAAAAUAAUUUUAUAAAGUAAAAAAAUCAACCAUUAACCAUUCAAAUAAUCCAAUAAUACUCUCCCUCUCUAUCUACUAUGUCCAUAUCUCUCCACUGUUUUGCUGAAGCAGCUGAAAAAAGCACAUAACAACAAAAUAGGUUCCUCCCAUCCAAAGAGAUCUGUUUUUCCUUUUUCUUCUCUUUCUGGUUUUUUUCACAGCCUUUUAAAAAUCCUUCAACUUUUGUUUCUUUUUGAGAAUUUCCAUUUGAGUCCUUCUCAAUUCUCAUAUUUUCCUUCAGUUACUUUUGAUUCUACUAUUCCAUCACUGCCUCACCUAGUUAUUACAGUAUCUUCUAAAUUUCUAUUCAGUCUUUACUUCAACUAUUAUUCAAUUUCUUUUUUCUUUUUUUCCCAGAAAACAACCCUUUGAUUUCCUAGGAAUAAAUCCACAAAUUUUGUCAAAAACCCAUGAAUAAAAAGUCACCUUUUAGCUUUAUAUGCAAAACCCAGUAAUAAAAAAGCAUUCUUUACCUUCAUAUUGGUUACAAAGUUAGUAAAGUUUUGAUUUUUAAGUUGUUCUUGAUAUCUAGCUAUCUG
rnacentral:lncRNA from 1 species